rnacentral:rRNA from 1 species
GAUUGAACGCUGGCGGAAUGCUUUACACAUGCAAGUCGAACGGCAGCACGGGAGCUUGCUCCUGGUGGCGAGUGGCGAACGGGUGAGUAAUAUAUCGGAACGUACCCAGACGUGGGGGAUAACUAGUCNAAAGAUUAGCUAAUACCGCAUACGUCCUGAGGGAGAAAGCGGGGGAUCGCAAGACCUCGCGCGUUUGGAGCGGCCGAUAUCUGAUUAGCUAGUUGGUAGGGUAACGGCCUACCAAGGCAACGAUCGGUAGCUGGUCUGAGAGGAUGAUCAGCCACACUGGAACUGAGACACGGUCCAGACUCCUACGGGAGGCAGCAGUGAGGAAUAUUGGGCAAUGCCCGAAAGGGUGACCCAGCAACGCCGCGUGGAGGAUGAAGGUCGUAAGAUUGUAAACUCCUGUUAGAGGGGACGAAUAUCACCGAUCGACUCGGUGUUUGACUGUACCCUCAGAGAAAGCCCCGGCUAACUACGUGCCAGCAGCCGCGGUAAUACGUAGGGGGCAAGCGUUGUCCGGAUUCACUGGGUGCAAAGGGCGCGCAGGCGGGUUAACAAGUCAGAGGUGAAAUCCUACAGCUUAACUGUAGAACUGCCUUUGAAACUGUUAAUCUUGAGUGCGGAAGAGAGAGACGGAAUUCCAGGUGUAGCGGUGAAAUGCGUAGAUAUCUGGAAGAACACCAGUUGCGAANGCGGUCUCUUGGUCCGUUACUGACGCUCAGGCGCGAAAGCGUGGGGAGCAAACAGGAAUUAGAUACCCUGGUAGUCCCCNCCCCUAAACGAUGAAUACUAGGUGUUUGGUGCUUUUUGCAUCAGUGGCCNCANCNUAACCGCAUUUAAGUAUUCCNCCCUGGGGGAA